rnacentral:tRNA from 9 species
GGGCCAUUAGCUCAACUGGUAGAGCAGGCGACUCUUAAUCGUCAGGUUGGGGGUUCGAUUCCCUCAUGGCCCACCA